GUUAGAACAAAGGUGGCUCUACUGGUCUGAGGAAGCCAGUCCAGCACUUUGGCUGCUUGGGGCACCACGGUGGCACCUUGCCAAGGAACAUUCCAGCAACCCGCAAAAGCCAGCACGCGUGGUUGGGCAUUUAGCUCAGUCAGCCCAGGGCAGUCAGAAGAUGGCUUCUGUAGGAAAGAGGAGGUGUUCUGUGCAGAGCAGAUCCCAAAGCACGCUACCCACGAGGCGGAGAGCGCUGCUUAGAACAGCAAAGCCAACGCCCGCAAAUGCACAUAAUAGAAGACUCAGCCACACGGCCUGUCCAGCUCAAGCACAUGUGCCUCUUCUAACCACCUUCAACAAGGUUUCACUGAGUUGCUGAGACUGGCUUUGAACUUGGGAUCCUCCUGCCUCAGCCUCCUGAUCUUCUGGGAUUACAGGCGUGCGCCACUGCACCCGGCAUGAACAUGCUUUUUGGUUCUCAUCUUGGGUUUUUAACCGGGUGCCAUCCCAUAGGUCAGUAUAGCAGUAUGUGCACCACCAGGACCACUACAUCCCAUUGGGCAAGAGGGGCCCUGCUCUCACCGUACGCAGGGACAGAUAUUUCCACUGGGUCGCUGAAAGGCCCGACUCCCCCUUUAGUGAUGGCUGCGAUCCUCACGGUGCAGGUGGCGUUGUGGACUUGAACAGGGAUCUGAGCCUGGCUGCCAUUCUGGCCGACUUCUUCAGAGAGCUCCUUCUGGGGAUAGAGAAAAAAAAGGAAAUGAAAUUGGAGGCACCAGCUGCACGGGGUUCCUUCUGUGGGAGGCCAUCCCACCCAUGUCCCGGGGACAGUGGCCACAUCUCCACUCCACAGCAUUCCUUCCCCACUCAGGACACAGUGGUGGAGUGAACCCAAACACAGGCAGGGACGUGGGGUGGGGCUGGCAGCAACACCAGGCUUUGCAAACUAGGAUCAGGAGGGUGAGGCACUUAAGGUGGUCCUUAAAGAAGCUUCCAGAAAGGACAAAGCAUGUAGCACUAUCUUCAGAAGGCAAGAGCAAGGUGAAGUCCUUGAGACCCCCCUGCAGGAUCCCCCAUAGCACAAUUCAGAGUCACGCCAUCCCUUGACACUGCAAACCUAGUAACUGCCCAAGCAGGGUCCAGAGUUUUGAAAUUUUAAGAAUAUGGACUAAAAUCUAUGUACAAGAGGAUACGAUACCAAUGCUACUCUUCUUUGCUCUCAGUGUGACAAAUACACAAUUGGUUUAAUCUUCAAAA